UACGUAGGGCGCAAGCGUUGUCCGGAAUUAUUGGGCGUAAAGAGCUUGUAGGUGGCUUGUCGCGUCUGCCGUGAAAACCCGAGGCUCAACCUCGGGCGUGCGGUGGGUACGGGCAGGCUAGAGUGUGGUAGGGGAGACUGGAACUCCUGGUGUAGCGGUGAAAUGCGCAGAUAUCAUGAAGAACACCGAUGGCGAAGGCAGGUCUCUGGGCCAUUACUGACACUGAGAAGCGAAAGCAUGGGUAGCGAACAGGAUUAGAUA
rnacentral:rRNA from 1 species